rnacentral:rRNA from 1 species
AUUGAACGCUGGCGGAAUGCUUUACACAUGCAAGUCGAACGGCAGCACGGACUUCGGUCUGGUGGCGAGUGGCGAACGGGUGAGUAAUACAUCGGAACGUGCCCAGUCGUGGGGGAUAACGUAGCGAAAGCUACGCUAAUACCGCAUACGAUCUAAGGAUGAAAGCGGGGGAUCGCAAGACCUCGCGCGAUUGGAGCGGCCGAUGGCAGAUUAGGUAGUUGGUAGGGUAAAGGCCUACCAAGCCGACGAUCUGUAGCUGGUCUGAGAGGAUGAUCAGCCACACUGGGACUGGGACACGGCCCAGACUCCUACGGGAGGCAGCAGUGGGGAAUUUUGGACAAUGGGCGCAAGCCUGAUCCAGCCAUUCCGCGUGCAGGAUGAAGGCCUUCGGGUUGUAAACUGCUUUUGUACAGAACGAAAAGGCUCUGGUUAAUACCCGGGGCUCAUGACGGUACUGUAAGAAUAAGCACCGGCUAACUACGUGCCAGCCGCCGCCGUAAUAC